rnacentral:rRNA from 1 species
CAACCUGGGAAAAGAAGGGAAUUCCAAAAAAUGCGUUGUAGUUCNGGUUGGAGUUUUUACUUGACUCCAUGAAGUUGGAAUUGNUUGUAAUUGUGGAUUAGAAUGCCCCCGGGAAGAAGUUUUUCGGCCUUGUUCACACCGCCCCUCAACACAUGGGAGUGGGNGGCAAAAGAAGUGGGUAGUAUAACCUUCCGGAGNAGGUCUCCACACUNUGNUCACA